GUUAAAAACAAUGAGAAACAUCUAUUUUUAAUCUAUAAAAUAAAAUCAAACAGACCUAUAAAAAUCCAAUUGCACGUGUUGGUUUAAUCUAUUCAUAUCUUUAUUUAUGUUUACAUCGCUUAUAUGGUCAUCUGAGGUCAAAUAGAUAGGUAAUUAGAUGGCGUCUGGACUAAAAUACACACGAAACGAGCCUAUAUAUUAUCUACCCCAUGC
rnacentral:lncRNA from 1 species